rnacentral:misc_RNA from 1 species
GGGGAGUACGUUCGCAAGAAUGAAACUCAAAGGAAUUGACGGGGGCCCGCACAAGCGGUGGAGCAUGUGGUUUAAUUCGAUGAUACGCGAGGAACCUUACCAAGGCUUGACAUGGACCGGACCGCCGCAGAAAUGCGGUUUCCCUUCGGGGCCGGUUUACAGGUGGUGCAUGGUUGUCGUCAGCUCGUGUCGUGAGAUGUUGGGUUAAGUCCCGCAACGAGCGCAACCCUCGUUCUAUGUUGCCAGCGCGUUAUGGCGGGGACUCAUAGGAGACUGCCGGGGUCAACUCGGAGGAAGGUGGGGAUGACGUUAGUCAGUCAA